UACGUAGGGUGCAAGCGUUAAUCGGAAUACUGGGCGUAAAGCGUGCGCAGGCGGUUGUGCAAGACAGAUGUGAAAUCCCCGGGCUCCAACCUGGGAACUGCAUUUGUGACUGCACGGCUGGAGUGCGGCAGAGGGGAUGGAAUCCGCGUGUAGCAGUGAAAUGCGUAGAUAUGCGGAGGAACACCGAUGGCGAAGGCAAUCCCCUGGGCCUGCACUGACGCUCAUGCACGAAAGCGUGGGGAGCAAACAGG
rnacentral:rRNA from 1 species